CUCUCUCUCUCUCUCUCUCUCUCUCUCUCUCUCUCUCUCUCUCUCUCUCUCUCUCUCUCUCUCAUUUUCAGAAGAUGUGAUUCCUCAGUGUCUUUCAUUUACUUUUGUUUCAGAAUAUUUCCUCUUAGCAAGAUGAAGAACGUGAAGCGGAUCUUAAUAAUGUUAGGGUUCAACAUGAACAUUUUGAAGACCCGUGUUUAGUAAAGGUUUUUGUGAUUGAUUUUGUUGAAGUAUUUGGAAUUCUCUACUUCAAGUGUUAUUUUUGGCUGAGUAAUUUUUAUUGAACUGCACCACGUGGUUGAGGAGGGUUACAAGGUUGCUUUAAAUGCUUAUGAUCUAAGUCAAGGACUUACUAGACAGCUGUCAGUGUCGUUUUUAAGGAAAGUUAUUGAAGGCAUAUGGCGGGUGCUUCUUUUUGUUCUUAGUAGAAAGCCUAAUGAUAACAGGUAGUAGUAUAUUAAUAAAAGGCUAGAAAAAAAGAAGAAUAUAUUGAAGUGUGAAAGUCUAGCAUUUUGUGGCUCUCAAUGUAGUGGGUAUA